CAAAAUCAAUUAGUGGGAGAAGGUAUUAAAAAAAAGAAAGAAAACCUGUUAUUUCAAAUAUAUUUCUAGAAAUUACUUUUAAAAUAUUUAAUUAAAAAUACUUUUAAAUUUUUAAAAUUCUUUUUAAGAUAUUUAUUAACAUUGGGAUUAACAUUUUGAUAGUCACAAAAGCCUGGAAAAUAAUUUACUCUAAUUCAGUCCCCUGCACUGCCCCCACUAUUCCUCUGCCUCUACUGAUCUUUCUGAGAUUUACUCACAGUUCUAUUUUUUUAAAUUAGUGUUUUGUGGAUAUACUAGAUAUUGAGAUUCACUGUGAUAUAUUCAUGAUUGUACAUACAAAAGUUUGGUCAGAUUUAUUCCACUGUUUUUCCCUUAUGUAUUCCUUCCUCCUCCUCCUCCUCAAUCCCCUUUAUCUACUCUAAGCUUUACUCCCCACCUUUUUCCCUUUUUAUCUCUCAUUCUUUCUCCCUCCACUUCCCUUAUUUCAGAUUAGUUUCCACAUAUCAGAGAAAAACAUUUGACAUUUGACUUUUGGGACUGGCUGAUUUCAUUUAGCAUGAUAAUCUCCAGUUCCACCCAUUUACUGGCAAAUGCCAUAAUUUCAUUCUUCUUUAUGGAUGAGUAAUACUCCAUAUUUUGAUAAAUGAGGUUGUCUUUCUGUUUUAGUCAGAUUUUUGCUACUGUGACUAAAAGACCUGACAAGAACAAUUUUAGAGAAGGAAAAGUUUAUUUGGGGCUCAUGGUUUCAGAGGUCUCAGUCCAUAGACAGCUAGCUCAAUUGCUCAGAGCUUAAGACCAGACAGAACAUCAUGGUGGAAGAGUGUGAUGGAGGGAAGCAGUUCAUAUGAUGAUCAGAAGCAGAGAAAAUAUAUACCCCAAAGGCACUCCACCCCCAGGGACCCAUUCCUCCAGCCACACCGUACCCACCUUCAGUUACCACUCAGUGAAUACCAUCAGGAGAUUAAUUGAUUGGAUAAGGCUUUCAUUACCCAAUUGUUUCUCCUCUAGACCUUAUUGUAUUCUUGCAUUAUCUUACACAUGAAUUUAGGGGUUUUAGACAUUUCAUAUCCAAACCAUAACACCUUCAUUGUGCCAGAAUUUCCCAAAAGGUUCAGAUUCACCCUUUGGAGGAAGAUCAUCAUAGUAAGCAGGUUGCCUCAGUGAGUGGAGAAUCUUUUCUUCACUCACCCACCUUGGCUUAUAUCCUUUACUGGUCCUCUGCUGGAGUCUGGCUUUGACUCAGUUCUGUAAUUGAGAAAUCAAUUUCCUGAGAACUUGGGCUGCAUCUGGAGUAAAGAGGAUCCAGGAGUUUAUAGGGGAGAAAGGAUCUCUCCUAAUUACACAGUCUCUU
rnacentral:lncRNA from 1 species